rnacentral:rRNA from 1 species
AUCGGUAACAAGGUCUCCGUUGGUGAACCAGCGGAGGGAUCAUUACCGAGUUAUACAACUCAUCAACCCUGUGAACAUACCUAAAACGUUGCUUCGGCGGGAACAGACGGCCCUGUAACAACGGGCCGCCCCCGCCAGAGGACCCCUAACUCUGUUUUUAUAAUGUUUUUCUGAGUAAACAAGCAAAUAAAUUAAAACUUUCAACAACGGAUCUCUUGGCUCUGGCAUCGAUGAAGAACGCAGCGAAAUGCGAUAAGUAAUGUGAAUUGCAGAAUUCAGUGAAUCAUCGAAUCUUUGAACGCACAUUGCGCCCGCCAGUAUUCUGGCGGGCAUGCCUGUUCGAGCGUCAUUACAACCCUCAGGCCCCCGGGCCUGGCGUUGGGGAUCGGCAGAAGCCCCCUGUGGGCACACGCCGUCCCUCAAAUACAGUGGCGGUCCCGCCGCAGCUUCCAUUGCGUAGUAGCUAACACCUCGCAACUGGAGAGCGGCGCGGCCAUGCCGUAAAACACCCAACUUCUGAAUGUUGACCUCGAAUCAGGUAGGAAUACCCGCUGA